UUGUCUCUUUCUAAAUUAUUGUCCUUCCAACUGCAUGCAAGAGCAACCUGGAGAGACUUUGACAGCUCAGGUCAGCAUAAUACCUGCAGCUGCCACUCGCCUUUCCUAUAUCU